CAUUCGCCUGGGGACUACGAGCUCUAGCUUGAAACCCAAAGGACUUGGCGGUGCUUUAGAUCCACCUAGAGGAGCCUGUUCUGGAACCGAUAACCCCCGUUUAACCUCACCCUCCCUUGCUUAUUCCGCCUAUAUACCGCCGUCGUCAGCUUACCCUGUGAAGGCAGCAUAGUAAGCAAAACCAGUACAACUCAAAACGUCAGGUCGAGGUGUAGCAUACGGGAGGGGAAGAAAUGGGCUACAUUCUCUGGUUAAGAGAAUACGGAUAAUGACAUGAAAAAUCAUUUGAAGGAGGAUUUAGUAGUAAGCAAAAAGCAGAGUGUUUUGCUGAAACCGGCCCUGAAGCGCGCA
rnacentral:rRNA from 1 species